CCUCUGCAAUGCGGGAAACCGUGACAGGGGGAUCCCAAGUGCUCAUGCAUUGCAUGGGCUGUUCUUUGGUCUAAGUAACCAGAGGAGUAAGGGCUGGGCAAGACCGGUGCCAGCCGCCGCGGUAAUACCGGCAGCUCAAGUGGUAGCCGCGAUUAUUGGGCCUAAAACGUUCGUAGCCGGAUAAGUAAGUCUUUGGUUAAAUCCUGCGACUCAACCGUGGGAAUUCUAGAGAUACUGCUUGUCUUGAGACCGGGAGAGGUUGGAGGUACUCCUAGGGUAGGGGUGAAAUCCUGUAAUCCUAGGGGGACCACCUGUGGCGAAGGCGUCCAACUGGAACGGGUCUGACGGUGAGGGACGAAACCUAGGGGAGCGAGCCGG
rnacentral:rRNA from 1 species